GUCGCGAGCGGCGCCCCCUCACCUGGGCCGGCCCCAGCACCGCACAGGAGGCGGGGAAGCAGUGCGGGCCUUCCGCCUCCAUCUAGGCAUGUCUUGUCCCCAGGCCCCAUGCUGUGCCCAAGGGACCUCAGUCUGCACUCAAGUUGCACCCCCUACAGUAAAGGAAGAAGACAAGGUCAGGGCACCAGUUCCUUCCUGAGCCAUGCCAAGUGCUGCCCCAGAGGAUGA